rnacentral:rRNA from 1 species
AUUGAACGCUGGCGGCAGGCCUAACACAUGCAAGUCGAACGAGUGGCGGACGGGUGCGUACUGUCUGGUAAACUGCCUGAUGGCGGGGGAUAACUACUGGAAACGGUAUCUAAUCCCGCAUACCAUCCGAUUUGCCCAGUUGGGAUUAGCUGGUAGGUGGGGUAACGGCUCACCUAGGCGACGAUCCCUAGCUGGUCUGAGAGGAUGACCAGCCACACUGGAACUGAGACACGGUCCAGACUCCUACGGGAGGCAGCAGUGGGGAAUAUUGCACAAUGGGCGAAAGCCUGAUGCAGCCAUGCCGCGUGUAUGAAGAAGGCCUUCGGGUUGUAAAGUACUUUCAGCGGGGAGGCGUUACCCGAAGAAGAAGCACCGGCUAACUCCGUGCCAGCAGCCGCGGUAAUUC